GACGAACGCUGGCGGCGUGCCUAAUACAUGCAAGUCGAGCGAAUCAUGAGGUGCUUGCACCUCUUGGUUAGCGGCGGACGGGUGAGUAACACGUGGGCAACCUGCCUGUAAGACUGGGAUAACUUCGGGAAACCGGAGCUAAUACCGGAUAAUCCUUUUCCUCUCAUGAGGAAAAGCUGAAAGUCGGUUUACGCUGACACUUACAGAUGGGCCCGCGGCGCAUUAGCUAGUUGGUGAGGUAACGGCUCACCAAGGCGACGAUGCGUAGCCGACCUGAGAGGGUGAUCGGCCACACUGGGACUGAGACACGGCCCAGACUCCUACGGGAGGCAGCAGUAGGGAAUCUUCCGCAAUGGACGAAAGUCUGACGGAGCAACGCCGCGUGAGCGAUGAAGGCCUUCGGGUCGUAAAGCUCUGUUGUUAGGGAAGAACAAGUACCGGAGUAACUGCCGGUACCUUGACGGUACCUAACCAGAAAGCCACGGCUAACUACGUGCCAGCAGCCGCGGUAAUAC
rnacentral:rRNA from 1 species